ensembl:lncRNA
AAAAUCUCAUCAUAAAUCUCUGAAGGGGCACAGUGGGACUGUAACCCACAGGUUUUCUGCACAUGCAUAAUUACCCGUCUCCCACCUCUGUGACAGAGACUUAAGAUCUGUAACAUGUAUAUAAUACUGUACUCUGAAAAAAAAAGUUAAGUCUAGCUUUGCUCUCAUUCAGCUGAUGAGGUGGAGUAAGCAGGGUUAGGCAUCUGGUAGGUACAGCAGCUUCCUAAAGCUGCUUCUAUCUAAGCCGCUUCCAUCUAAAGCUUGCUUAACCAUGCAAACUUGGGUAUUCCAGCUGAAUUACCACAAGUGAAAUAUCUUUCUAAAAUUACUCAUAAACCAAAAUACUAUCCUGCAUUUACAUUUUUGAUGUUUAAAUUCUGGAUUAAGAUACUGGGAACCACAGUUCCCCUACUAAGUUUAUUCUUACUCAAACUACAGCACAGUUGGCUACACUGUAGGAGGUUCAGUCUUAAGCCCCCCACACUCACCAAGACAUCUUAAAGGACACAUUGUUGAAAUGUAAUAGCUAGCUGAAGGGAUCCAAGUUUUUGUAGGUUUUGACUUCGGUAAAGUACUUUACAUAUGACCAACAUUGGAGCAAGCUAGCAGUUGUGAUUUCUAAUCAUUUAAUCCAUCAAGAUAUAUACACGUAUCUUUCUGCAGACAGAAACAGGGAAACGUUAAAUGGAAGACCGUUUCCUUAGAAAUUGCCUUUUUAGAGCAUCCAACCAUUUUGGCUAUCUAAACUAUUCCAUAUGAAAACAAAGGUAUGAAAGAUUGUCCUUUAAAUGUGGCAUGCCAACUUGCCUUGACAAUUGGAAGCUAUCUAUAAGAGUUAAGAGCUGAAUUUUCAGCAAUUACUGCUGUAAAAUAGCACAAGAGUUGUGUGGAACUAGAUUCUCAGUACACUCAUGCAAAAGGCAGAGCAUACUCAUUCUUUUUCAUGUUAAUUCCCUAUUUCAAUGCCAUGCAUAAAUAAGGUUUUUCCCCUUUGUAAGUGGUAUAAAAAUAGACCAUUCUAGGUAUGAAAAGUGUUUUGGUACUUAAGAAAACUCUAUGUGUGUUUUCUUGAGAGAGUGAUGUACCGAUGAGUAACUGCUGAAACAGCUUGGUGGUGUAAUAAAAGGGAUUCAGUCUGUGGAGUUAAGCGUUGAAACAGCGCUAUGUGAGCAUACCGUUUCAAAACCUGGGAAGCCAAUGCAUGAGGUCAGACACUGCUCCUCUUCCCAGAUAUAGCAUAGAUGCAGGCAUACCGAGCAGAAGGUGAACUUAGUUAUUUGUAACUGUUUUAAGAUUUUAUGUUGUCUUUGUGGAGAGAUGCUAAGAUUUUUGAUGGUCAGAUGCUCAACCAACUUUUCCCUCUUUUGUGCCUCGCUCACUGAUACGUGACAGCUGUAACACCCAGUCUCCUGAGGAUGCACAGCUCUAGAACUGUCGAGUCUCAAGUGAGUCUGGCUCAUGCACCUGCCGGGGAGAAAAUACAAAUCUCUAAUUCAUAUUGAAUUCAUUCACUGCAUUCCAAAAUGAUUUGAAGGGUUUAGAGGAUAACAGUGUUAAGAAUAUUCUGCAUUUUCUAGGACAAAUCUGUCGCUGUUUUUCCAAGGUUUCUUCGAGAGAUGCAGGCUGUAUGUUUGUAAUCAUCACUAGCUACUUCUCCUAUUACAAUACUGACUAGGUCAUUUGGAAUACGAAGAGACAAGGGAGCAAGCUUGCAUACUAUAGUAAUUUUUUUAUACUUUACCUUCAUCUAUUUAUGAAUUUAUUAUGAAGAAUAUUUUUAAGCAGAUACGAAACCUGCUUUCUGUUGUGAAUUGUAGUCUAGUAGAUACAUUGUACUGUGUAUCAUUAAAAAGAUUUAAUUAAACAUUUGGCAG